AAGUCGUAACAAGGUUUCCGUAGGUGAAGGUUUGCCUACCAAAGUUUACGUAGGCUAGUUCAUCAUUGAGCGACACUGUCAAACUGCGGGGAAGUUCUCUGGGCCCGAGGGCACCAUUGCAUAUUUGCAAUGCGCUCGGCUGCCGGAGCCAUCCGCAUCUCUGCGCUGCAGAGUUCAUCGACUGGAUGACAGUGGGCAGCACCGCGCUGUUUAAGGUACAGUCAGUUCGCGGGACGAAAGUUCGCGAGGAAAUGGAACCUGCGGAAGGAUCAUUAGUGAAUCGGCGCUCGCUCAGAGCUGCCAUCACAUCCACACCCCAGUGAAAUGGCACCCUUUUUUAACCCAAAGUGAUGCAUGUUCUAAAAAUAUAAGCGAAAAACAA
rnacentral:misc_RNA from 1 species